rnacentral:rRNA from 1 species
AAUGAACGCUGGCGGCAGGCUUAACACAUGCAAGUCGAGCGGGGUGAUGGUGCUUGCACUAUCACUUAGCGGCGGACGGGUGAGUAAUGCUUAGGAAUCUGCCUAUUAGUGGGGGACAACAUCUCGAAAGGGAUGCUAAUACCGCAUACGUCCUACGGGAGAAAGCAGGGGAUCACUUGUGACCUUGCGCUAAUAGAUGAGCCUAAGUCGGAUUAGCUAGUUGGUGGGGUAAAGGCCUACCAAGGCGACGAUCUGUAGCGGGUCUGAGAGGAUGAUCCGCCACACUGGGGCUGGGAGACGGCCCAGACUCCUACGGGAGGCAGCAGUGGGGAAUAUUGGACAAUGGGGGGAACCCUGAUCCAGCCAUGCCGCGUGUGUGAAGAAGGCCUUAUGGUUGUAAAGCACUUUAAGCGAGGAGGAGGCUCUUUUGGUUAAUACCCAAGAUGAGUGGACGUUACUCGCAGAAUAAGCACCGGCUAACUCUGUGCCAGCCGCCGCAGUAA